CUCCCUGCUUCUUGAUCUUCAGACCCUUGGCUUCUUGACUCCCAGCUCUCUGACCCUCGGACUCUUGGCUUUCUGGCUCCUGGCUUCUGGUCUCCCGCUCCUGCUCCCACCCCACCAUCUUGCCCCCGGUCCUGACGUCUCCAGCCAGGACUUCGAUCACCCAUGAACCAGACCGUGACACGUGGGGAGCAAGAUAGACAUGAACACAAGAGCCCACCUACAACUCCCAGCCACUGACAUUCAGAGGCAUAUCACUUCUGACAGUGGAGGACUUUUUUAGGGGGGGUGCUUAAACCCAAACAGAUGUGGAAAUGUGAACUGAAUUUAAUAGUGGAAAAAACGAAAAAUGGAGAGGAAUCGAGAUUGAGAGAUUUACCCUUCCCAAGAUCAGAUUGCAGUUAUCAUGUCAUGUCUUGAAUCUUAACCACCCUCUUGAAGAUUGGUGAUGGCCUACCAAACCACUGGCAGAAAUCUCACCCAACCACUUCAUUAUGGGCAGUCUAUGUGAAUAUUGUAAUUUAGAGUUGGGGAAAACAUGAUCCACUGUGACAGCAGAAGGUCUGAAAGUUGGCCCUAUGAUUCUUUGGACUGUGCCUGUCGCCACUUCUUUGAUACUUCACAGUGAAGUCAGCCUCGCAUGCUAUUCUCAGCGGUAGAAAAUGAUUCUUAUCCUUGUCAUGAAAAGUCCAAGAGCGAUUCUGUUCGAACAACACAACACACCUCCACAAAACUCCAGAGCUGCUUCUGCAAAAUGCACAAGGCUGCCAAUACACAACUGGACCCUAUGAUGCCUUUGAAGUCAUCUGCCCAACAGCUCGGGUGCUUUAAGAGAGGAAACUGAAGGCAUUUUUGGUGUUGCAUCGCUUGCCAUUAUUGCUAUGCAUGAACUGCCCAUCAGGCCAGAGUGGCAUCAGCGUAAUUUGGUACUUUGUAAUAGAGCGCAAUAGGAGAGGAAAGGCUUCCAUUGGAAAAGUGUGGGCCAUCACACAAGAAGCUAUUUAGAGUUCAGUGUGUGAAAAAUUUAUAAGAGGUGAUUCACACAACACUUCAAUAUUGCUACGUCAAGCCGUGGUCUAUGAAUCACUCUUUUAGCAGCGUAUUUCCUCUAGAGAGCCAUUUGAGAAAUGCCAGGGUGAGAUGCUUUUCAGAAGUGCAGAGCUCUGAGUGAGUAAUCUAUAUUUCAAUUCAAGCACAACUCUGUGUUUUUGUACAUUCCACAUCUCCCAACAAAAUGCUAUCGCACCCUGAGAACCCAUUACAGUUUUCAUUUCAAUAUAUACCAUUAAGCGCAAGGAGUUUAGCCAUUGCAAUUAUGACAAAAUAAAUAUCAAACAGAAUGCCUGGAAACAUCAGGUCUGAUGUUGAUGGCAAACUAUAGCCAUAGAAAGGUGUCUGAAAUAGACCAGAGACUUGGGUGACAGGGAGGACAAAUUUAUAUGCUAUUUUUAAUAUAACUGCGCAAGCGCAAAGCUUCAGAAAAGGUACACUGCCUCUUUGAAAAUUAGUGUAGGAACUACAGGUAGUUCACAUUAUUUUUAAAAUUGUAUAUUAAAGUUGAUGUACAAAAUCCACCAGCCUGCAUUAUGAAAGGCUGCUGAUAAUGUUCUGAGCAAAUACUAUAUUACUGUGCACUUUGGUUUUGUAGAUCUACUCUUAGAUUGUAUUUGUUUUGCUCCACAAAAGGUGCCUGUGUAUAUAGUUCAUUUGUAUCACUUUCUGCAGAGUCCCUGACAUAUAUAUAUAUUUAUGUUUAUUAUAAGAAUAAAUGCUGUGUACAAUAUGAAAUACAGAGGUUUUGCUACAGUCACUGAACCCUAUAAUGCCAUUAGGAAAAUAAAGGCUUGUUUUUUAAAAGAAGGGGAAAAAAUCCUUAUUUAUAUUGUGUAUGAGUUAUCGCCUAAUGAAUUGUGAUGCAGUAUUCCUUGUCUAUGCCUCUUCCGCGACAAUGUUUACUCUUCGCUAUGAUUAAUUAGCAGGUAAUAAAGUCUAUUUUGUGUUUUGAA